GUUGCUUCCCUGCCUUGUGGCUGAGAGCAAGUGUAGUAUCUGCUCUUUCCAGGUUAAUAUCUGAUAUGUCCUCUAUCCGAGGACAAUACAGGAAAUGGAUUUUUGGAGAUGAGAGAUGGAACAGCAGCUUGCCGAAUCCAAGACAUUCAUUGACCUGGCAUUGCAGCCGUCCAGGAAUAGUGCCGCGCCC